rnacentral:misc_RNA from 1 species
UGAACAUCUCAAAAUCUUUUUGGAGUUGGGCUUUUUGUUGUGAAAUACUCUCACAACUGGCCCGAAAUUUGUGUCAAAACAAAAUGCAAGAAACGUGUGGAUGCUUGUUGUAGAAGACAAAAAGCUAAUUAGUUGACUGUGGUCAAACUUGCUGACUAGUCUUCCACACUUAAGCAAAUCUACAUUCACA